UAACUUCAGUGGAGUUGGCCUUUAUUCAGAAAAUAUGUUGGCAUCAGCUCGCGACCCUCUAAAUACUCGUCGUCUGAAACUAGUUAGCAGGAGCGCCGAGGCCUUGUCGACCCUGCAGAAAGACAGAAAUCUCAGAUGGAAAUUUCAAACCUGGGCAAUGGAAACCAAAACUACAGUAUCCGGGUGGCUACAUACCAUCACAGAGAGAGAAUUUCAUCUCACCUCGUCCGCUCCUGCCCACAAAGCGCAGAUCGUUGAAGCGGGCCACCUGGUUCUUCAUCACGGCAGAGGCGUUCCUCAGCUCGGCCGAGUAGUUCUCGUCGUUCCCGGCCAUCACGGUGACCAGAGUCCCGUCGGGGACAUCACCGAGAGCCACGACCUGCACCGAGGAAAACGACCGGUCACUCUGGGUCACCAAACGAAAUAUAGGCUGCACAAUGCACGCGUAAAACCGCAUCUGACUCCCAUAUUAUUAGGGAUAUUAUUAUAAUUUUGCCGUCAUGUCCAUAAAAAAAUAUUACACAUCAUUUAAAGACUCUAAUCCAAUGUAGGGCCGUGCCAUUUAUAUAUUUAUGUUAUU